AGCUGGGUGAGCUCACCCAGGCUGCACCGGGCAGCUGCACAUACUGACCUGGGAAGGGCUGGUGGGCACUAGGCAGAGGAGACAUCUCUGUUCCCACCAGGACUGUCACCAUGGGAACUUUAGGGAUGGAGGCCAUUUACGGCUGGUUGUAAACCCUGACUCUGACAGCAAAGCCUUUCUUCGCCUUUUUCUCUGGACUUGGCCCUGGCUUCUUAGAGAAAGCAGGCUCACAUUCUACCUCCGGCUGGCUCUGCACACACAUCCCCUGGCACUGAGCGCUGGCCCGCUGCGUGGGAGCUGCUCAAGCUCAGGGAAGUGUCCUGGCUCUCUCUCCCACAGAAAGUGGAGCAGACGCCUGAGGUUGCUGAACACUACAGGUCUGAUAUCUCUGCAGACACCUGUGGAUGCAGGGGGAGAGAAAUAGUGGGUUCGCUUUUCUUCUGUGGUGCCAUUACCCCUUGGAGGAGCUCUCAGAUCAUUUGUGAAGCAAAGGAUCUCUUCUAAGGUCUAGCUCCCUUCAUCAGGCUCCCAGCUUUGAGGCUGGAAAGGCUCAUCUUUUGCCUUGGCCAAAGCUGAAAAUGCUGCAGACAGAGGAAGAGCUGGCAGGAACCAGCCUGUGGAGGAGAAGUUGAGGGCAGAAGGACUUCAGCAGUCAGAUCUCAUCUGGUCCUUAUUCCAAUGCCAAAUGCUUCUGUGAAGACACUUGUGCCGUACAGUAUCUGAGGUCCACCCCAGUUUGGAUGCCUGCCUGGCCUUCCUCUAGAGAGAGAGAGGUUAAAACACAAAGCUGAUCAAGAAUUGCUCCUUCUCCAGCUGAUCAACUCCUGUCAAAAAAAAAGUCACACACACAACUUCUUGAUGCUGCUCCGUCUCCUGGGAGCUGCAGUCCAGGUAGCUCAUGACCCUCUUGUCCUGUUGCAGGGCCAACACCCUAGUUGGACCUCUGAUCUCACCAUGAGCCACAAUGCCCUGCUAACAAAAUGUGGUGGCGUGACCAUGGUGCUGAAUGGGAGCCUCCAUGGCUGGGGGGCAGUCUGGCAGGGCAGGGCAGAGCCUGGUAGGGCAGGACUUGGGGACCAGGAGGCAGCCCCGGUUCUUCAGGGUGAAGGCCUGGGGAAGGGAGAGUGUUUGGCCAGACUGCCUGGCUUUCAGGAGUUCAGGUUUGUGUUAAAACCAGUUAUAAGUUCUUCUCCCUGCAGAAUCCAGAACCUGGUGUUACAACAGGAUAAAAGAUUCAAUACUUCAGUAUUACAAUUUGGACUCAAUGAUCCCUGUGGGUCCCUUUCAACUCAGGAUAUUCUAAUAGGAAGAGAAAGUUCCAAGAGAUAUCCUCCAGCCACUCUGCAGAGGAAGCCUUUCAGUGGAGAGCUGCCCACUGAUGCUCCCUUUCUCAAUGGCCCUCGCAUGCACAAACACUAUCCAUCUCAGUUUUCCUCACACCUUGAGGUCCAACUCUGCCUGUUGUGCUUGCCAGGACCUGUGACUCCACCUGCAUAGGAAGACAUCUCCUGGCAAAGUGGUGCACUUGGAAUAACAUGGACCACUGCUUUCUCCAUUCUUCUUAUGCUUCACGUGCCCUGAGUUCCGUGGCAGAUGAGCCACUGGCUGGUACCCUGGCUGGAAGAUGGAUGAGCCACCCCCAUGCUCCUGACACAGCCUGAAUGCAGACUUUCUGCUUUCACCUAGGUUUGAGACCAGGAAGAGGAGAUGUAUUUCCUGAGAAAAAGUGACAGGGUUUGUCCUGGUCUUCCUGUUGGAUUCUGGGAGAAAAAUCGAAAGGCUUGGCUGCUUUGUGAGGAAGCUGCACAAGAAGUCUCCAGCUGUGACACUUUGCAGGGGAACCAUCAGACAUCCCAGUGGGGAGAGCACCACAUGUCAGGAGGAGUUUGGAGGGUAGAGCAAAGCAUCAACACAGGAGGCAGGAUGAGCCUAUGGAAACCAGCUGCAGCACAGAGGAGGAAGAAGGACCUGAAGUAUCAUGGGAUGGGAAUAGGGGACCCCAGUUUGCAGACAUCACCCAGUUGGGCUCACACCAAGGAUGUGAAAGGCAGCUAUAACCAUGCUAGAGUGCUGGCUGGAGAAACAGGUCUUGAUAUACAGCAGCAAACACUCAUAACAAAGAAAAAGCAUUUAAAAAUGUUGUACUGCUUGGCUGCUCCAGCUGAGUUUUGUAGUAAGGCUGUUGCCUGGUGUGCUGCGCCCCCACUUUGCUGCCUACUGCAUGGGAGCAGAGCUUGUCACUGUGGGUCACCAGGGACAGUCACCUUAAUUGGCUUAAACCACAGAUUAACUCAGGCCUCCAGCUGUGCCACCCAUCCCAAGGGAAGGUCUCUGAAACAGUGACCGCCCUGAAAAUUCCUCCUGUGGUCACUUUUGUAAAGCCCUGCUCAGCUCGGAGAGGGAUGGAGAAAGCAGUUAGUGGCAUUCUGCUUCUAAAAAGCAGUCAUGUUUCAGCUGUGAUUCAUGUGUCUGGGGAUUCAGCCUGUUUUGGUAAUUUGCGGAAAGCCAGUUCAGCAGAAUUGCUAACCAGCUAUUUACUGAUGCCGCCAGUGUGAUGGAAGGUUGUUGCUUCCCCACCUGGAAGACAUGGGGGAUACUAUUGCCGGCAAAGAUUGGGGCACAGCAUCAUAUCCUUCAUAAUGUUGUAGGAGAUGUGCAGAGAUGGGGACCACUUGUGACUGUGGGGCUAGUCUGGGUUGGUGUUUUUUUAACUUUAUUUCUUUGAAAGAGCAAUAAACACCUUUGGACCUCCCUGCAGAGGACUGAGUUGUAA